CGGCCGCGGAGACUCAGGCGGUGGCCCGCCCGCUCCAACGCGGACAGAAUCGCGUCACCGCUGCCCCACCCCCCUGCGUUGCAGACGCCACCCGUGCCACAGCGCCUGCGCGAAAGGGCCUAAACCUGCUACGCAGACUUGCGACCCACCGGACGUGGAGCACAGCCCGGACGGUUGGCACAAGCGUACGGAAGGACAGGCGGGCUCCCAUGAUUCCUUGCUGCAUCUCGUCCAAUGGGGUUCGAGAUAUGGCUUGUAAGAAGUAUAAACUCCUAAGAAAAUAAGAUAAAAAGAAAA
rnacentral:lncRNA from 1 species